ensembl:lncRNA
ACGGCCGACACUCACCAGGACUUACCUGCAAUGGUUCCCCAGGUCCCUGAGGAGGUUUAGAGGGACUUACCUGGAUUGGUUCCCCAGGUCCCUGAGGAGGUUUAGGGGGACUUACCUGGAUUGGUUCCCCAGGUCCCUGAGGAGGUUUAGGGGGACUUACCUGCAAUGGUUCCCCAGGUCCCUGAGGAGGUUUAGGGGGACUUACCUGCAAUGGUUCCCCAGGUCCCUGAGGAGGUUUAGGGGGACUUACCUUCAAAGGGUUGCAAGGUCCCUGAGGAGGCUUAGGGGGACUUACCUUCAAAGGGUUGCAAGGUCCCUGAGGAGGCUUAGGGGGACUUACCUUCAAAGGGUUGCAAGGUCCCUGAGGAGGCUUAGGGGGACUUACCUUCAAAGGGUUGCAAGGUCCCUGAGGAGGUUUAGGGGAACUUACCUUUAAAGGUUCCCCAGGUGGCGGUUUUGGGAGCCUGACUUUUAAAGGUUCACCUGGUCCAUGGAGGCGUCUAGAGGGCCUUACCUUAUAAGACAUACCUUUUUCCUGGUGUUUAACAUUACCCAGAGUUCCUGGGAAUCUGUUGCUCCACCAGCUUUUAAACUGGUUUACGAACUCCACUCGAUCACAGCUCCUUUUCAUUAUUGGUUCAGGAGGACUUACCCUUAAAGUCUUACCUGGUCCCUGAGGUGGUUCAGGAGGACUUACCCUGAAAGACUUACCUGGUCGUUGAAGUGGAUUAGAGGCACUGGAAAAAUAACAAAAUAAUUUAUGGUGCAGAUUACACAGAGCAUUAUAGAACUGUGUUACCAGGGAACUAUUGUCCAAUACAAGCACACAGUGAGAGCAUCAACAGUAAAAU